ensembl:snRNA U6 U6 spliceosomal RNA
GCGCUGGCUUUGGCAGCACAUAUGCUAAAAUUAGAACAAUACAGAGAAGAUUAGCAUGGCCCCUGCACAAGGAUGACAUGCAAAUUCAUGCAGCAUUCCAUAUUUUA